rnacentral:rRNA from 1 species
UACGAAGGGGGCUAGCGUUGCUCGGAAUCACUGGGCGUAAAGCGCACGUAGGCGGAUUCUUAAGUCGGUGGUGAAAGCCUGGAGCUCAACUCCAGAACUGCCUUUGAUACUGAAGAUCUUGAGUUCGGGAGAGGUGAGUGGAACUGCGAGUGUAGAGGUGAAAUUCGUAGAUAUUCGCAAGAACACCAGUGGCGAAGGCGGCUCACUGGCCCGAUACUGACGCUGAGGCACGAAAGCGUGGGGAGCAAACAGG